rnacentral:lncRNA from 1 species
ACAUUUCUCCUCCCUAACUUGUGGUUCGUAACUCAGCUCCUGCAAUUGUGGACGCUGGUGUUGAACGAGUCAUGGGUAACUUUGCCGUACGUAAAUGUGGCAGAGUUUAUCCCCGUUUGACAGGCCUUGAUCUUUACAUGACAUAUCGGCCUAUCUGGUGAUUCAUCGUCUCAAUUCUCCUCGGAAUGAUGAGUCUUAUCGCUACAAGAAUCUACCCCAUAGUCGACGGAGACGGACUAAACGUUGUUGUCUUUGACCUCACGGUCAACGGAGUUCAAGGUCGACGGACAGGACAUGUCCGUCUCAUCUAGAAGCGGAGAUGUGAGGCCAUAGUCGGAGAUGUCCGUGACUAUGAGUGUAUAUUUUAAUAUUAUACUAAUAGAGAAUCGUAUGAAAUUGAG